UACAGGGGGUGCAAACGUUGCUCGGAAUCAUUGGGCGUAAAGCGCACGUAGGCGGUCUGUUAUGUCGGAUGUGAAAGCCCUUGGCUCAACUGAGGAAGUGCAUCCGAAACUGGCAGGCUAGAGUACUAAAGAGGAUCGCGGAAUUCCCGGUGUAGAGGUGAAAUUCGUAGAUAUCGGGAGGAACACCCGUGGCGAAGGCGGCCAGCUGGGCCGUCCCUGACGCUGAGGCGCGAAGGCGUGGGGAGCGAACGGG
rnacentral:rRNA from 1 species